CCAAAGGUUCUUCUAGGAACCAUGUCAAAAUAUUUUCUAAAGUCAA
rfam:Picea glauca, whole genome shotgun sequence.